rnacentral:hammerhead_ribozyme from 1 species
GCACUACUGAUGAGUCCCACAAAGGGGACGAAACGGCCGUCUAGUGA